rnacentral:rRNA from 1 species
GAUGAACGCUGGCGGCGUGCUUAGCACAUGCAAGUCGAACGAUGAAGCCCAGCUUGCUGGGUGGAUUAGUGGCGAACGGGUGAGUAACACGUGAGUAACCUGCCCUUAACUCUGGGAUAAGCCUGGGAAACUGGGUCUAAUACCGGAUAGGAGCGCCUACCGCAUGGUGGGUGUUGGAAAGAUUUAUCGGUUUUGGAUGGACUCGCGGCCUAUCAGCUUGUUGGUGAGGUAAUGGCUCACCAAGGCGACGACGGGUAGCCGGCCUGAGAGGGUGACCGGCACACUGGGACUGGGGCAACGCCCCAACUCCUUCCGGGGGGCAGAGGGGGGAAUAUUGGAACAUGGGCGGAAGCCCUAUGCAGCGGCGCCGCGGGGGGGAUGACGGCCUUCGGGUUGUAAACCCCUUUCCGUAGGGAAAAAGCGAAAGGGACGGUACCUUGAAGAGAAACACCGGCUAACUACGUG